rnacentral:rRNA from 1 species
AUUGAACGCUGGCGGCAGGCCUAACACAUGCAAGUCGAACGAGAGGCGGACGGGUGAGUAAUGCUUGGGAAUCACUCUCAUGGCGGGGGAUAACUACGGGAAACAGUACCUAAUACCGCGUACCAUAGGGUGUGUCCCAGUGGGAUUAGGUAGUUGGUGAGGUAAAGGCUCACCAAGGCGACGAUCUCUAGCUGGUCUGAGAGGAUGACCAGCCACACUGGGACUGAGACACGGCCCAGACUCCUACGGGAGGCAGCAGUGGGGAAUAUUGCGCAAUGGGGGCAACCUGACGCAGCCAUGCCGCGUGAGUGAAGAAGGCCUUCGGGUUGUAAAGUACUUUCGGUGGGGAGGCGUUAACCACAGAAGAAGCACCGGCUAACUCCGUGCCAGCAGCCGCGGUAAUAC